rnacentral:misc_RNA from 1 species
GAUGAAGAACGUAGUGAAAUGCGAUAAGUAAUGCGAAUUGCAGAAUUUCCGUGAGUCAUCGAAUCUUUGAACGCACAUUGCGCCCACUGGUAUUCCGGUGGGCAUGCCUGUUCGAGCGUCAUUAUCCUCUCUCUCAUCCCCCGUGGUGUGAUGUUGGGCCACACUUCCUCGCGGAAGCGGGCCUCAAAAAUAAUGACGGUGUUCAUAGGACCCUCUGAUACAACGAGCUCUCGGGCACGUAUCAGGUACGGGACACUAUACACUGGUUUAACCCCAUCUUAUCAAGGUUGACCUCGGAUCAGGUAGGAAUACCCGCUGAACUUAAGCAUAUCAAUAAGCGGAGGA